UGAAAAUAAACAGGGACUAAAGGCUAAAACUGAAAUCUGAAAAGGCAUGACUAGUGCUUAAGUCACAAGUUUUUCAGCCCCCAAAAUUUCCCCAACCCACUCCUGCAAAUCUGAGCUUCAAAUUUGAAGUUCAAAUCCAAAAAUAAACUAAAAUACAGUAGAAAAUCCAAAAGAAAAAAACGGUUUCAUUGAAUUGUUUAGGUUAAUUUUGAGUUUCAGGCAUCAAUUCGCAUCUCUCAACUUGACUUUAAGCACUGAAGCUUCAGAAGUGUCCUAGUUCAAAAUUCGAGUUAGUUUUGGGUGUAUUUGAGCUGUGUUUGUCAUUUUACACUGCAUUUGGUUGAUUCAUCAGUUUUUGGGUCUAUUUGCUAGGAUUUUCGAUGCUGGUUUUACGAGAUUCCAAGCUAAAAUAGAUUUGUUUUCCUUGCUGUUUGAAAUUGUGUUUAUCUCACAUGGCUGCUGAUCUCUCUUGUCCUCAUUGUUUUUUGUCAAAUUCUAGGUACAUUUCUUCAAAUUACCUCGAUGUAGCUUUGAAUUGAAGUUGAAAUGAAAAGUGUUCACCAGAUCUAUGCUCGUUUGGAUGUUGUCUGUUGCUUAUAAUUCAAUAGAUGUAGUUGAUGUUAGUUAUUUGUUUUGUAUUAUAUGAACAAUAGAUACACAUGGACUAUAUAAUUACUACUGCUUUUGAAGUGAUUUGGACUACUUUGGACUUUCAAUUUGCAGUAAACUGCUGAAUUCUGUAAUUGCGUAGCCAUUCGGACAUUAAUAUCAAUUUAGUGUAGUUUGUGAGUUUAAAAAAAACAGGUAGCAAUAGGUAUAUUUGGCUCAGUUUAAGUAACAAAUCUUGGAUUAACACAUGGGGAUGGUUACCAUUUGUGCUUUGUCUAUCUGUUAGUAGCAGUGCUCUUCGUGAAUGUUUGAACCAUCAGACGUUGGAAUUAUAGGAAAUACAUUUUUCAAAAGGAUCUAAUAGAGUAUAUUAGAGCCAGUUUUGUAAAUCAGAUGUGUGGGAUCCUGUUCUAUAAAUCAUAAGACAGUAGAUCAUUUUCAUAGGUGGUAUGUUAAUUUGAUCAUAUUUGAAAUGCAUAUUGAAGUACCUUUGAAUCAAUAGUUUACUGUGAUUGAAUCAACAAUCAAUUGAUUUCAAAUAAACGCAGGAGCAAGAGCUAGUCUCCUAAGCUCAAUAAUGAACCAAAAAAAAGACCUUUGAAUAAAAAAAAUACUGGGCUCUCGUUAAACGUAGUAACAUGGUUUAGGCUUUCUCGUUAAAUAGUCUGCUUGAAUUACUUUAAUGGCUUUAAUAAUAUUAAUUUAUUAGGAUCCUUUUAGAGACAAAUUAAGUAGAAAAUUGUAGUUUGCUGUAGGUUGGCCUUUAAAUAAUAAAUGAGGCGAGCCCUGCCAAACAAAAAUAUAUAAAUUGCGGGCCCCUCUUUAAAUGCCUAUAUUGCAAUACUUAGAACUCCAGACGAGCCGUAUAGCG
rnacentral:lncRNA from 1 species